AUUGAAAUAGCUCAAUGGGAGAGCAUUAGAUUGAAAAUCUAAAGAUCCAGGUUCAAAUCCUAGUUUCAAUA